GUAUGCACUGGCCUCACUGAUUCCUCCUUCUUGAAGAACUGUGAUGUCAUUCAUUUGGUGUUGCAGGGAAACAGGACUGUUACUUUGAAAAAAUUAGAGUGUUUAAAGCAGGCUAACGCUUGAAUACAUUAGCAUGGAAUAAUGAAAUAGGACGUUUGAUCCUAUUUUGUUGGUUUCUAGGAUUGACGUAAUGAUUAAUAGGGAUAGUUGGGGGCAUUAGUAUUCAAUUGUCAGAGGUGAAAUUCUUGGAUUUAUUGAAGACUAACUACUGCGAAAGCAUUUGCCAAGGAUGUUUUCAUUAAUCAAGAACGAAAGUUAGGGGAUCGAAAACGAUCAGAUACCGUCGUAGUCUUAACCAUAAACUAUGCCGACUAGGGAUCGGAUGA
rnacentral:rRNA from 1 species